rnacentral:rRNA from 1 species
AAACUGAAGAGUUUGAUCAUGGCUCAGAUUGAACGCUGGCGGCAGGCCUAACACAUGCAAGUCGAGCGCGAAAACACUUCGGUGUGAGUAGAGCGGCGGACGGGUGAGUAAUGCUUGGGAAUCUACCUAGUAGUGGGGGAUAACGUGUGGAAACGCACGCUAAUACCGCGUACGUCCUACGGGAGAAAGCAGGGGACCUU